UACUGUUUUUGGAUUAGACAUGUUAAUAGAGUUACUAGUUUUGGGUCCUCAAGUUAUUUAUUGGGCUUGACAAAAUAAUGUUUACUAAUUUUAGGAAUGACAGUGUCCCUGUUCCUACUUAAUAGACAACAAGUUUCAAACUCCUCCGUCACAAUUGAUCCUUCCACAUUGCUGGCAAACUUCCUUCACUUCGUCUAACCACCGUCGAUCACAGGAGCACUACCGACGAGAGGUCCAAACGCCGUAGUAAAUUACCAUCACAACUGACUGCAAACAUAACCAUACAAAACACCAUUUACCAUUUAAAAGAAUAAAAUUUCGAAUUAAAACACAUACAUAUAUAUACUAAACGUUAAUAAUAGAGACAAAAAAAGAAAAAAAGAAGUCAUGGGAUGAGCUUCCGGUGGCUGGAACAACCCGAGGCUACCCUUGAAA
rnacentral:lncRNA from 1 species